rnacentral:rRNA from 1 species
ACGGGUGAGUAACGCGUAGGAAUCUGCCCUGUAGAGGGGGACAACCCGGGGAAACCCGGGCUAAUACCGCAUAAUACUCUGAGUAGGAAAGCGUCCCGGACUUGUUCCGGGGCGCGCUAUGGGAGGAGCCUGCGUCCGAUUAGCUAGCUGGUGAGGUAAAGGCUCACCAGGGCGAUGAUCGGUAACUGGUCUGAGAGGAUGAUCAGUCACACUGGGACUGAGACACGGCCCAGACUCCUACGGGAGGCAGCAGUGGGGAAUAUUGGACAAUGGGGAAACCCUGAUCCAGCAAUGCCGCGUGUGUGAAGAAGGCCUUCGGGUUGUAAAGCACUUUAGGCGGGGAAGAAGAUUUGGUGAAGAGCCAAGUUUGACGGUACCCGCAGAAUAAGCACCGGCUAACUCUGUGCCAGCAGCCGCGGUAAUACAGAGGGUGCGAGCGUUAAUCGGAAUUACUGGGCGUAAAGGGCGCGUAGGCGGAAGAUUAAGUGAGAUGUGAAAUCCCCGGGCUUAACCUGGGAACUGCAUCUUAAACUGAUUUUCUAGAGUAUUGUAGAGGAUAGUGGAAUUUCCGGUGUAGC